UUGGGAAUCUUUGGCAAUGGGGGAAACCCUGACCAAGCGACGCCGCGUGGAGGAUGAAGGAUUUAGGUCUGUAAACUCCUUUUGCCAGGAAAGACUUAGGACGGUACCUGGCGAAUAAGCCCCGGCUAACUACGUGCCAGCAGCCGCGGUAAUACGUAGGGGGCAAGCGUUGUCCGGAUUUACUGGGCGUAAAGGGCGCGUAGGCGGUCUGUUAAGUGUGAAGUGAAAUCUCUAGAGCUCAACUCAGAAAUUGCUUCGCAUACUGGCUGACUUGAGGGACGUAGAGGUGAAUAGAAUUCCCGGUGUAACGGUGACAUGUGAAAAUAUCGGGAGGAAUACCAAUGGCGAAGGCAGUUCACUGGACGUUUCCUGACGCUGAGGCGCGAAAGCGUGGGUAGCAAACAGG
rnacentral:rRNA from 1 species